UAAUGAGUGUUUUAUGGCACUUUUUAAAUCCAUAUCCACCUUGUGUGCAAUGUCAGUCGAUCUUCUUCAUGGAGAUCGACCAAACAUCAACCUUUAUUUUUUAACUCUUUGUCUGAAAAAUAUUAUGAAUAAACAAUUCAAAAUA
rnacentral:misc_RNA from 1 species